UGCACGUUUGCGGAUGUGCAAUAUCAUCCACGAAGAACAUGACACGAUUUCAGAAAACCGCACCCAGGGAACCCAGCCCCCCGGGAGGCUCCUGAUGCCGCCCUUACUCUCCCACCUGGUGUCCCCAUUUGCACACCUGCCUCUGCCUCACGUCCUGAGAAUUAACCCCCCGCGAGACUGUUCCUGUCUGGAGAGCACCGCUUCCGCCGGGCCGUGGAAAUCGAGGUGCAAGUGUGCCCGCAGAGCGUGAGGUUAUGACAGAUAGAGGAGGCAUCAGGGCAUAUGGAAGCUCCUGGACCAGGGUUUGAACCUGAGUUGCUGCAGUUGCUGCAGAGACAAUGCAGGAUUCUGGGAGGUCCACUGCAGCAGGACCUCCCAGUCUGUCUUUUAAGAAGCCAUUGGAGGGCGUUUGACGCAGAGCUGGCCUCAUCUGACCUCUCUGUGAGCAGCAUCACUCUGGCCGCUGCAUGGAGAUUGAAUUGAAGGAGAGAAGGGUUGAGGCUGGAAACCAAUAAGGAAGCCUUUGUACGGAUCCAGGCAAGUGUUCAUGGUGCCGUCCAGUGCGGUGGUAAAAAUAAGCAUGAUGAGACAUGGCGUGACCAUGGAUGUAUUUUCAAAAGACAGAAGCAGAAGGAUGUUCUGAUGGGUUGAAUUUGUGAGGUGAGGAAGAAAAGGAAGGGAUAAGGAAGUGGCUUGAGAAGGCGGCACUAAAAAUAACCACAAAGUGAGCCUGAAAAACCACGGCAUCAGCACACUUGGUGGCGGUGGGGAGAGAUCACAAGCCAAGCUUUGAUGACAGGAGGUUGCAGAUACCUAAGACAUCCAGAUGGCAUCAGAUGCAAGGCUGUGUAUGUGGCACCUGAGAUAGCAAGGAGAGCUCCUGGUUGGGAAUGGAAGUCCAGGAGUUUGAGCUGUACCUGUUACUUAAAGCGGUGACAUUGGGAGCUCCCAUUGUGGCUCAGUGGAAACGAAUCCAACAAGGAGCCAUGAGGUUGCAGGUUUGAUCCCUGGCCUCGCUCAGUGGGUUAAGGAUCUGGUGUUGCCGUGAGCUGUGGUGUAGGUGGCAGAUGCGGCUCAGAUCUGACGUGGCUGUGGCUGUGGUGUAGGACGGCGGCUACAACUCUGAUUAGACCCCUAGCCUGGGAACUCCCAUAUGCUACAGGUGCGGCCCUAAAAAGACAAAAAAAAAAAAAAAAAAAAAA
rnacentral:lncRNA from 1 species